ensembl:lncRNA
CGUCACGAACCGAGGAGCUGGAAGGGACCCCAGGAAACAUCAGGCCUCGCCCCUUCACACUGACAGACCAAGCUCAAGACCAAGCCAUGAAGGGACAGCCAAGGUUCCUGGGCAACCCUCUUCCCACCCUGGGGACCAGUCCCAUGAUCAGAGCCCUGGCUACUGGCUUCUUAUUCAUAAUAAAGGCCAGGAUUGAAUUGGAGGACUUCAUUCAGAAAACCCGGACCUUUUCCUUAAAUACAAGGUCUCUUACGUCACCAUCUGUUCAAGAACUCACAGCCUAGCCACUUGCACCUCAGCCCACAUAGCUAUCACUGACCAAUGUCCCCAACAACCCUGCAGACAGCUCAACACUCCACAGGAUCUCCUCUACCCAGGAAGCCCUGCCUACUCAGGCCCCAGCCUGAGUGUUCCCUAUUAAAAUAUACAGAGGUCUUGUUAUGGUACCUGAGCAAGGUGCUGUGGCCUCCAGCCUGAAGUGCCACCCCAGGAGAACCCUAGUGUGGAGGAGACAGGCAGAUUCCUCAUCGUCCCCAAGCCCCCAGACCUGGUGGCCCCUGGAAUCAUGGCUGUGCAGACUUGUGGAAAAGUCACAUGGAACUUCUGGACAAGGCUGUGUCCUCCUGACCUGAAACCUCACAAACUUCCAGCUUUCAAAGAAAAAAGAAAAAAGGCGACAACAACCAGAGACAAGCAGCUGCCACAGGGCAUGGGUGGCUACUUCUGGGGAGGGGGUAGAGGGCAGUUGGCUCCCCAUUCAUAAAUAUAACCACCCAUCCCAGAGGAACCAGCAAAACAUGGUUAUUGUGGGAGGAAUUUCCUGUGUGUGUAUUUCACCUGUUCUUUCUAUGUUAGGAUCAUGGUUUUCUCAGAAAUUUCAUCAUCAUGACAAUUGGCUCUCCCCAGAGUCCUUACCAGGGAGAAGGUUUACCUCUUUCACCUGGUGCUUGCAGCCCUCUAGCACAGCAGGAUCGACUGACGGCCAUGCUGCUGCCCCGGAGCACUCAGAGCUCUUUCAAAAUCCAGGGUCCUGUCCUCAAGAGAGCUCCUACAGGACAAGGAUGAUCGCUAGGCACAGUGCAGCUCAGCUCCUCCAACACCAAGGCAAGCAUCCCUAGGACACAGAUCUCGUGCCUCUUUCCUAUCCUCCACAAUGGCCUACACACACCUGCAUAUCACCCUCAGCCUGCCUGGUGACUGAUAAUCGGCACAGCCAUUUCCCUGCAGGGCCAGUUUGUUCCCAGAGGCCAUGGAGUUUCUUUGACUGAUGGCAACUCAUGCAGGACAAGGGCAACCUGGGAGCCAGGCAUGCUCUGGGACACUUGGGAAAGGACCAAGCAUAGUCCCUGCUGGGAGGGCAGACCUUAUAGGCAGAGCUGCCCCAGGCUUGGGGAACAAAGCACCUCGAGCUGUCCCACUUGAGACAGGAUGUUCCAGGUGGCCAUUAUCACUCGGGGCUGUGUUCUAAGGGUGUGGGGAGGUGACCAGGUUUGGUGCUAUUUCCCACCAUGUCCCCAUUCUUCCUCUCACCAGUCCCUUUUCAUUGAUUUUAGCUUUCUAGUCACUGAUUUGGCUGGUGUCACUCAGACUUGCUGGUCUUAUUGCUGGUGUGCUUGGUUUCAUGUUUACAAAGUGCCCAGACCUUGUUCUUAUACAGAGUUCAUCACCUGUCCCUGGGCCCAAAGGCAGGAAAUGGCUCCCAGGAGAACAUGGAUCCACAGGCUCCAUGCACAGAGGGCAGAGGGAGGAGAGGCGUGGCAGGGACCGGAAGGAUUUUCCUUUCUGUGGUGCCAAGGUGGAGUACAGAGCCUCACUUGUGCUAGACCAGUGCUCAGCUCUUGAGCCCCACCCAGCCUCUGUUGCCAGAGUUGAUGCCCAGGACUUCGGGCUUUAUUUUAUCUCUGGCGAGCUAGCUCUGACCUUGGAGUAGGAAAUUCAAUUGCAAGUAGCAAAAACUCAACCUUGGUGUAAUCCCCAGUAGUUUUAACAACCCCAUGACCCAGAUGACAGCCGGGAGUCCUCCACCUGGAGUCUGAGUCCACUGUUGCAGGAGCAGCUUUGGUUUGGAGACAGACUGGGAAGCAGGGAGUCUGGCAACCAUGUUGCUCGCAAUGCAUGACUUAGUCAUUUUUGUUAUUUGGGGUGGAAAAUUGAAGUGGUCAAGUUUUUUUUUUUCUAGUUAGAAAAGAAAAGAUUAUGUUUUUAUAAUAAAUGCCUUUUAGCAAAAUUGCCAGGGUCACUCAGACCCUUCCAGCCACACACUGACUCUUCACCUCCUGGGGCGUGUGUCAGCAUCUGCAAACACAAGCGGCACGCAGUGGCCCCAAAUAGGGUCAUGCUCAUGCCUCACGUCAGGCCCACCUGCUUCCCCCACUCCACACACUAGAUUCCAGAUUUCCAUCAGAGCAAAGCCGAGUUUAGAGUCUCACGCAUCAGCUUUUAUACUUAAAAAAAAUAGUAAUUCCACAAAUAGUGACUUUAAAAAUAAUCGAGCCUUGAGCAUGAAGGAAUGUAGCUCAGGAGAGCGGCUGUCACACGUGUCUUUGGCAGCUAAGUCUGCUGCUCCUAAGAGCUGUGGGUGGGGGACCCUGGCCUUGUGAUGUGGGUUGAUCCACUGGACCCUUAGCCUUACAAACAAGAGAUCAUACAGAUCCAGAGAGCCAUGUAAGUCCCUGUCUUCCCAAUCAAUUUCAGUGCCGCUGCUGCCCACCACUGAUCUGAUCUAUUUGUUGCAAGCAGAGGUUUAUGAAUCCUUUGAAACUUACUGUGACAUCCUAUAUGUAGCUGAGUACUUUAUAUCUACCGAAGGGGACAUUCAACAAGAAAUAGCCAUAGUUGUAGCUGCACUCCGUAUCUAUGUAUGACAUGCACAUUAAGUGAAUGUUUCCCAUGUUUUCAGAUCUACAAAGUUUAGUAUGUGUAAAUAGGGAAAAAUUUGAUAAAUAUGGUAAAUUAAGUUUAUAGUGUGUCAUUUGACUCUUGUUUUGCUGCCUUGUUAUUUAAUUUCCCAACCCCUCCACAUCUAGGGUGGUUCUGAGGUAGAGACCCUCUCAGCUAAUCCACCCUGCAGACAUGAGUGUGUGUGUGUGUGUGUGUGUGUGUGUGUGUGUGUGUGUGCAUGUGACACAGGACACACUCCACGAAGGCAGCCGUGCUCUGGGAUAGCGUGCAGCUCACUGCUGAUGCCUGACUGACUCUAGUUCACCCUCUUCCCCCUUCAGUUCUGACUGUGAUGAUUUAAUAAGUGGAGACAUAGCACUCAGCUGCUAUAUGUUUCUGUCAGGCCUCUGGUUUGUAGGAAAAUAAAAUUUAU